CCUUAAUCCUUGGCAUUGUAAUUGAUAGUGCUCCUCAGGCCCUUUCCUCCCUUGGUACAGAAAUGAUACUACUCUUCAGGGUUUCUGAUACCUUAGAACAAACUGUUAUUGCCCAUCAUGGCCUCUACUUCUUCUUGAAUGAACUAUGACUCAAAAGGAGUAGGCAAUGUGAUAGAGGGAUGAUACAGAGACUUUGAAGAACAGAGCAUGGAAAAAAUGCAAAGGUUUCCAUCCACAGUGGGGGAUGGUUGAGAAGACUUGGAAUCUUGAGGGAAGAGGAGAUUCCAAGGAGAGGCAAUUGAUCUCUCUCUAUCUGGAGAAAGCAAAGGUCCCAGGAGAAAGGACAUUUGGGCCCUACUGUAAGCAAGUAACUUCAGGUUUUCUUCCCAGAUUGAGACUAUGUCAGGGCCAAAUUCUGGGCACUUUUGGGACUGUGUACUUCUAUUGUCCUCACCAGUCUUAUUUGGGAUUCUGCCACUGUGUUCUUUGGGUGCAAUGUUCUUUAAAAAAUCACAGAGUUUGUAAAUGACCAAAUAAAAUAAUGUUUAAAAAAAAUCA
rnacentral:lncRNA from 1 species